rfam:Ornithorhynchus anatinus chromosome X5, whole genome shotgun sequence.
CCCCUCUCAGGGUUGUACCUGGAGAGUUUUCAGUACUCAACCAGUCUCGGCUACGGGAGGGAGAGUCAAGCAGAGGCAUACCCAUUCCAUUCCUAGCUUGGGCAGUGGCUAGAGAGUGGAAGGCCAUCUGCUACAAGU